ensembl:lncRNA
CUCGCAGCUGGUCACUGGGCCACGUGGACGUCCCGGAUGACUCACGCGGAUCGGGAUGAUCUGCUUUUUAAAAAAAGACAAAACAGAAAGGUGUUUGUUGAAAAUAGAGGAGAAAUACCUACAUCUGAUAAGGUGCCGCAUGGGACAACCGGUGUCCCUACGUGUCCCCGCAUAGAUCGCGUCCACUUUGACUCAGCCGGGCUCGGAGGAGGUGCAGGCCGAGUCGGGAGGAGCAGAGCGACACAUCUGUGUCCGAAACAUUGGCAGAAUUCAGCGGGCUCAAAGCCCGGUGACGUCACCGCCUCCCUCCACGGCGCUCACGCU